rnacentral:tRNA from 1 species
UCUUCUCUGGCUCAGAUGGUAAAGAAUCUGCCUGCAAAGUAGGAGACCUGGGUUCGAUCCCUGGGUCAGAA